UGGGACAUGACUGCUGGACAUCUGAAGGUUGAUGUUUACACGUGUUCAGGUCUGACUGUUCCAGA
ensembl:miRNA